rnacentral:misc_RNA from 1 species
CAACUUCCAAAUAAAAACCGCCGGCUCUUUUAAACAGUCACUAUCAGUUAGCAGUGCCUGUAGCCUCGGUUAGCAAGCAACCAUGGGAGAGGGCGAAGAAUCCGCUGCUCCGACUGCUUCUGCUUCCAGAUUGAAGAGGGAAGACUAUAAGCGGACCAAGCACGACUCCCACUUCUCCAAAUGGCAGGUUCUUAUUGGACCUACUGAUUGGGAAGACUACUCCCAGGGGAAGGAAGGAGUGGCUAGGUACAGGGUUCACAACCUCCCAGCUAGCUCAGGUCCCGGUUUAUAUGAGCUUGGCGUAGCGGUCUCUCGCUCUGGGCUGGGGCGUCUCGUUGGCAAGCUUGAUCCGGAUGACAUUGUGGUCGUUUACCUUGGCCAAGCGGACAAUGUUCGGAGUCGCCUCCAGCGUUAUGGCCGUUCUGGUGCUCAUUUGGGCAAUGCCUAUGCAACUGGUCACUGGGAUAGUAAAAACGACUCUCCUCAAAAGGGGCUUGGUUUAUUCGAGGAGAUAUUCUCUGGAGGCCACUCCAUUGUGUUUAGAUGGGCUUCUGUAAGUAUUGUCCUUCCUUGCUUAGCCUGGUUAGUUAUAUGAUGUAUGUGAAUUAUGGGUCCAUAAUGGUGGAUGAAACUCGGCUCUGCAGUUUUCUUCCUGCCUAAUCAUGUAAGCAAGUUUGAACCUUUUGUGGCUGUUGGAAUAUGAUAUUUCUCGAGGAUCAGAUAUGAAGUUUCUAGCUUGAAUUCACUGACCAUUAUGAACUGGAUGUCAUUUUAACCUUAUAGUAAUGGAAUAGACAGUCAUAGCUAUCAGAAAAACAUAAAUGGUUUGAACAGGUGUCACUCACUCAUCUUGUGCUUCUAUGAACUCUCCACUAUCUCAGAGUUGGUUUAGGACAUUGAGAUCUGUCCCUCUGUAUGUGUGUGUGUAUGAGUAAUGCUACAUGCUUAUAAAUGCGUACAUCGUACAUGUAUAUCAAGAUGGAAUGGUGGAUGAUGCUUGACUGGUUGCAAUUUUGUGCCUGCAUUAAAAGAAUCAGGGAAGCUUGCAUGUUCUGGCAUAUAAUGUCUAGGAUUCUAUUUUAUCCUUACUCAUUGCCUUUCCUGAAACAGAUGAAGGAUAAGAGGAAUGCUGAGAAAACAGAAGCUCAGCUUCUUGACACUUUUGAUUAUGCAUGGAAUAAAGGUAGUAAUGGUGCACGCCGUCCUAAUGAUAUCCUUCAGAAAAUUAGUAAAAUUGCUUUAAGCACUAACAGAUUUUCAAGUAUCUCUAAAAGGCUUUUAUUUCUACGACCGGGCCAAGUGGGUAUUAAAAUUGAAGCAAACAAGCCACUUUCACCAGAAAAAUGUACUAUUCCUGCUGAUGAGGAUGGAAAAAGUUUCCUCAAAGGAAUUUUCAAGUUUAACAGAUCACAGCCUAGAUUAGUUUCAGACAAAUGUGGCAUUGAUCAGGACUUCAUUCACAUAUGUGGAUUCAUCAUGAAUGACGGUGUCCCUUGUAGAAGGCCGCCUGUUCCAGGGAGAAAGAGAUGUGAAGGACACAAAGGAAUGAGAAUUUAUGGAUCUAGUUCUAAACCAAUUUCAGAAGGGAGUUCAAAUUAUUUGCCUGGUGUGCAUCUGGAUCCUAGCACUCACUAUGAACAGGACUAUGCUACCACAUGUGGGGUAAAUUUAGGUGAUGGGAAUUUCUGCAGGAGGCAAGCAGUGCCAGGAAGGAAAAGAUGCGAGGAACACAAAGGGAAGUGGGUUAACAGCUGUGUCUCUAACCCAGUAGCAGAAGAGGAAUGCCAUCCUGCGAACAGCGGUUCUAUGGACUGGACAAACAACAUUGUCUCGCCUGGAAGCAACAUGGAUCAGGAACCUCGGUUUCAUUCCCCAUAUGAAGUUUCUAUUGAUGAACAUGUUUCUUCUAUUUGUGGAGCAACUUUGGGGAAUGGUUCAUUCUGCAGAAGGCAACCCACUCAAGGAAAUAAGCGGUGUUGGCAGCACAAAGGCAGGAGGGGUGAUGGUAGUUUAUCUGGUAGUUCCAUCUCAAGGUUUGAUACAGUCACAUGUGGAGUUGCCUUACAGAACGGUUCUGUCUGCAUGAGAGCUCCUGUUCAUGGAAGAAAGAGAUGUGAGCAGCACAAGGGAAUGAGAGUCUCCACAUCCUUUAGUUGAGGAGUAACAUCAUAGAUUAGAGUAGUGUUGUACAUCCUAACUUGUUGAAUAAUGUUUUAGCUUGCUUUCCCUAACAUAUAUUAGGGAAUGGUGGUUGUACAUCUCUAAAUUUAUUAGAGUAGUGUUGUGCAUCCUAACUUGUUGAAUAAUGUUUUAGCUUGCUUUCCCUAACAUAUAUUAGGGAAUGGUGGUUGUACAUCUCUAAAUUUAUUAGAGUAGUGUUGUGCAUCCUAACUUGUUGAAUAAUGUUGUAGCUUGCUUUCCCUAACAUUUAUUAGGGAAUGGUGGUCGUACAUCUCUAAAGUUGUAGUUGCUUGGCACUGUG